rnacentral:rRNA from 1 species
GACGAACGCUGGCGGCGUGCUUAACACAUGCAAGUCGAACGGUGAAGCUCCAGCUUGCUGGUAUGGAUCAGUGGCGAACGGGUGAGUCACACGUGAGCAACCUGCCCCUGACUCUGGAAUAAGCGCUGGAAACGGCGUCUAAUACUGGAUACGAGAAGGGUCCGCAUGGGCACUUUCUGGAAAGUUUUUCGGUUGGGGAUGGGCUCGCGGCCUAUCAGCUUGUUGGUGGGGUAAUGGCUCACCAAGGCGACGACGGGUAGCCGGCCUGAGAGGGCGACCGGCCACACUGGGACUGAGACACGGCCCAGACUCCUACGGGAGGCAGCAGUGGGGAAUAUUGCACAAUGGGCGAAAGCCUGAUGCAGCGACGCCGCGUGGGGGAUGACGGCCUUCGGGUUGUAAACCUCUUUCAGCAGGGAAGAAGCGAAAGUGACGGUACCUGCAUAAGAAGCACCGGCUAACUACGUG